rnacentral:tRNA from 1 species
AGUGGUAUAGCUUAGUGGUAGAGCGUGUGCUUAGAAUGCACGAGGUCCGGGGUUCAAUUCCCAGUACCUCCA